rnacentral:rRNA from 1 species
UGCCAGCAGCCGCGGUAAUACGAAGGGACCUAGCGUAGUUCGGAAUUACUGGGCUUAAAGAGUUCGUAGGUGGUUGAAAAAGUUAGUCGGAUGUGAAAUCCCUGAGCUUAACUCAGGAACUGCAUUCGAUACUGGAUCGCUAGAGUAUAUUAGAGGAUAGUGGAAUUUCAAGUGUAGCGGUGAAAUGCGUAGAUAUUUGAAGGAACACCAAUGGCGAAGGCAGCUAUCUGGAAUAAUACUGACGCUGAGGUACGAAAGCGUGGGGAGCAAACAGGAUUAGAUA